GCCUGAGGUCAGGAGUUCGAGACCAGCCUGACCAAAAUGCUUGUUGGAAUUUAAAGGCAACCAAUCAAAAUGCAUUUAGGCUUCAAAGGAAAAAGUUCUCCAUAAAUACACCAGAAUUUCAUUCUAACACGACUCAUUCAUCCAAAGAGCAAAGCUACACAAGAGGAAGACAGCUGCCAUGUGGUAACACAGUCCUGUGAAGAGUCCCAUGUGGUGAGAGAGGUGGUUGGGAGUGAGCUUGGAAGUGGAUCCCCAACCCUCGUCCCCAAACUGAGACUUCAGAUGAGACUGCAGCUCUGGCCAACAGCUUCACGGCAACCUCACAACAGACCUUGAGCCACAAGUACCCGGCUAAGCUGUGUCCACAUUCCUGACCCACAGAAACUGUGAUAUAACAAAUGUUUGCCAUUUUAAACCGCUAAGUUUUGGUGUAAUUUGUAAGAAGCAACAGAUAAUGAAUACACUACUCCUCCCCUCAACCACUUCCCUCUGUCUACACUGACUUCCUUGCUGUUUCUGGAACAUACCAGCUUUGCUCCUACUUCAGGACCUUGGCACUGGCCAUUCCGUCUUUAGAAAGCUCUUUUCUCAGACAGCUUUGUGCCUCUAGCACACCCUAUCCCUCCUUCCUGACUUAUACGUGCCACCUUCUAUACAAGUGAUUUUCUUUCUUGUCUGACUUUCCCACUGUCGGCUCCAUGGGGCCAGGGAUUUUUGCCUGUUUGGUUCACAGCUUUUCCUUCAGUGCCUAGAAGUGGGCUUGGUACGUGGGUUGGUAUCGAGUAAACAUGUGUGGUGAAGUGAGGGAGAAAGAUACGUCUAGAGCUAGAUAUGUUGGGUUUUAGGUACCUGUGGGAUUUUCAAGUAUUGUCACAUGUGAAGACAGGAUCAGAGAGCAGGGGGCAAAAUAGAGGGAAGUGUGAUACCGAAACACAAGGAGAGGGACUCCACAGUAGUGAAUGCUACAGAGAGGCAGGGAGGUCAUUUAAUAUAAGAAACAGAAAGUGACUGUGACAUUAAAUAACAUCAGUUUCAAGACUGUGUUGGAAGCAAAGGCUAGAUUAGUGAGCAAGGGAAGGAGAUGGAGGUGAAGAAGAGCCAGUAGUAAGACUUCCAAGGAAUGAGGCUGUGAAGAGUGGAGAAGAGAGCAAUGGGUGGAGGGCUUAUGCUGGGAGGGAACUUUCUAAAGACAGAAGAGAGACAGCCUGUGAAUUCUGAGAGUCAGGACUGAGGGGAGUUGUGGCCUUGGUGCAGCAGGACAGAAUGUGACAGAAAACCUUUUGCUAUAGAUGCUGGACUUUGGACCAGCAGCAUCAACAUCACCUGGGAGAUUGUUAGCACUAUGGGAUCUCAGCCUGUUCCAGACCUACUGAAGCAGAAUUCGACAUUAAGGUUGCAGAUGAUCUGUGAGGACAUUAAAUUUGAGAAACUCUGGUUAAGAGCACAGCGAAGAGGAGUAAGGAGCAGGAAGAGCAACUUGUUUGUGGAAAUGGCAGGGUCAGCUCAUGAUGGAUUCAGGUGGAUUUAACAUUUGGAAAUCCCAGCAGGAAGUAAAGGGAAUUCCUACCUUGUGGCCUCUCUUUACUCCAAAGAGAGCCCAGGAAUCCAGAUAGUCAGCUGACAAUGAUGAUCCCCAUCGUAAUAGCUACUGUGUGUUGAGUGGUGUGCUUCGUGUCAGGUGGUGUUCUGGAGGCCUUAUAGAAAUUAUCUCAUUUAAUACUCUAGCAACCUUACAAGCUGAGAAUCAUUAUCCUCAUUUUGCAGAAAAAACCAAAUCACUAGGUUUAUCCAACUAAGAAGCAGAGAGUCAAGCCAGGAUUCAUUUUUCACCAAAGUCCAUGCCCCCUUUGUUAGGCCCCAUUGCUGCUGCUACACCCUAGUGGUAGGGGAGGUGGGAGAGAGAGCACGAGGAUUGAAGAGAGGGAUGCAAUCUUGAAAUAGAAUGCAGAAGGGGAUGGGAGUGGGAGCUUGUUCGGGACUUUUGUAUUAAUCAGGGUUCUCUAGAGGGACGGAACUAAUAGGAUAUAUAUAUAUUAAGGGGAGUUUAUUAAGUAUUAACUUACAUGAUUACAAGGUCCCACAAUAGGCCAUCUACAGGCUGGGAAGCAAGGAGAGUCAGUUGAGUCCCAAAACUGAGGAACCUAGAGUCCCAUGUUCGAGGACAGGCAGCAUCCAGCAUGGGUGAAAGAUGUGGGCUGGGAGGCUCGUCUCGUCCUUUCACAUUUUUCUGCCUGCUUUAUA